rnacentral:rRNA from 1 species
CAGUAGCCGCGGGAAUACGUAGGUGGCAAGCGUUGUCCGGAAUUAUUGGGCGUAAGGGCUCGCAGGCGGUUUCUUAAGUCCGAUGUGAAAGCCCCCGGCUCAACCGGGGAGGGUCAUUGGAGACUGGGAAACUUGAGUGCAGAAGAGGAGAGUGGAAUUCCACGUGUAGCGGUGAAAUGCGUUGAGAUGUGGAGGAACACCAGUGGCGAAGGCGACUCUCUGGUCUGUAACUGACGCUGAGGAGCGAAAGCGUGGGGAGCGAACAGGAUUAGAUACCCCUGUAGUCCCUGUCUCUUAUACA